rnacentral:piRNA from 1 species
UGUGCAUGAGUGCGUGUGUCAGGGAGAA